rnacentral:rRNA from 1 species
CAAUAGCGUAUAUUAAAGUUGUUGCGGUUAAAAAGCUCGUAGUUGGAUUUCUGCUGAGAACGACCGGUCCGCCCUUUGGGUGUGUAUCUGGCUCUUUCUUGGCAUCUUCUUGGUGAACGUUGCUGCACUUGACUGUGUGGAGCGCUACCCAGGACUUUUACUUUGAGGAAAUUAGAGUGUUUCAAGCAGGCAUACGCCUUGAAUACAUUAGCAUGGAAUAAUAAGAUAGGACCUCGGUUCUAUUUUGUUGGUUUCUAGAGCUGAGGUAAUGAUUAAUAGGGACAGUUGGGGGUAUUCAUAUUUGUGCGUCAGAGGUGAAAUUCUUGGAUCGCAGAAAGAUGAGCUAAGGCGAAAGCAUUUACCAAGGAUGUUUUCAUUAA